CGGGGCGGCGGGCUCAGGGCUGGGCACUGAGCGCGGGAGGUGGCCUCUCAAGGCAGGGAUCUCGGUGCCUCUGCACGCCUGGCACGGCGGCCGACACUCGAAUCAGUGAUCAGAACAAAAGGUCUUGACAAGAAGAUGCUUGCUUGUAAGAAGCAAAAAAUGGCUUUCUUCAAAGGAUGUAGAAGUAGGAUAAGAAAGUGAGCAUGAGAACCUGAAGCAGGCUUUUGUUCUUGCUGUCUCCGAGUCUUGGCGCAGAAUCAAGUAACAGAUUUCAAGAAGUUGGAAGCAUGAUCUACUUAUUCUGGAAGAAGAUAUUGAGGCAGUGAAUGCUUCUAAAAUUGUUUCCCUUAAAAAAAGUGCUGUGGCCAUGCUUGUGAUUGAAAUAGAAGAAAGGAUACUCAGACGGAAAGAAGCUCAGGAAAUUCAAUUUGACAAAUUCCUCAAUGUCCUAGAGACAGAGAAUUGUGCCUAUGGGAGAAAACAAUGCUCCUGGAGAGAUGAGAGCAAGCCCUGGAAACCCACUGACUGCCUUUGGCAGAGGAUAUUCUCCUGGAACCAAAAGUUCUUCAGUCCAGAGCUCUCAUUCCACCUGUCUUCCUGCAUACACAUAUCUGGAGAGAGUGAAACCCCAAAUCCAGUUCCUGGUGUGUUAAAUGAGAAACUUCAGUGGAAUAGAAAGGGCUCAAGCAACUCCAGCACAGGGACACAGCUCUUAAAAUGAAGCAAAAUAUUCAUGAAAUCAGCUACCUUCUGGGAAUGAGAGAACCUUGGGCUAACCCCUUCACUUCUCAAGAAUAGAAGCUGAAUCUGGGGACUCUGUAAGGCCCCUCUGAUGCCCUGUGAGGAGUAGAACUGGAGUUCAUAUUACAUCCUUUCCUCUAGGUUCCAUUUCUUCUAAUGAUGUCACAUGAGAAAAUGGUCUUAAGUGGAAGUCACUUCACUCUCCUUCCUAGCACAUUUCGAUAAUUCUGAGGAAAAUGAGGUUCCCUGGGAGAAAGACAGGUGGGUACACUCAGACUUCAUUCUUGAGGUAUGCUGAUUCAGGCACGUCCUGCUGGAGGAAUCCCUUCUGUUCCCCCACAUUUUUUCUUCUAUGCAUGUUAAGUUGCCAUUGCUUUCCCAGGAGUACAAGAAGAGGCCUGGGACUUCCUCUCCAUCCUUCUUCAGUUUAGAACAUGUAGGUGUCAUUCCAAAUGUGAUACUAGACUGAAAUGUAAAAGCAGAGAAGACUUCUUCAUGAUGAACCUGUAUUUAAUUAGGCAGUCGAGCCAAUCUAAUUCUGGCAUGUGACAGAUUGAGAGGCAAUUUGUGAAGGAAGACAUUUACUAAAAUAAACACAAAGCUAAACUAAGAUGUUAAGUUUGAAGGUGAUGAGCAGUGAUAUAUGGUGCUAUUGUAUCCUGAGAGCCUUGCAAUUAUCAUUUCAUUAUGCCAAUUUUAUCAACUUAACAUUUUCGUGCUGGGAAAACAAUACUGGAAUAGAAGCUUCCUCCGGACUAAUUUUUGAAUAAAAUAAACUCAUAUCAUAACUAUCUUUUAAAAAUUUAACUAAAAGUUGUACAAAAAUUUCAAAACACAAAGAUGGCUUUAAAGUAAAAUUUUAAAGUAUGCUUACAUUAGAAAUUAUGCUUAUGGUGUUUUAAUGUGCACUUAAUUUGACUUAGUAAUUUAUUUUGCUAUAUCAGAUAUUUUAUUCCAAAUUUCAUCCAAGUAUAAAAAAUAAGUAUUAAUUGGCAUGGUAGGGAUUACUGGUUUCUUUCCAUCAAUGGUGAUGAAAUAAAUGAAAAUUAAAAGAAGGAAAUAUCAUCUCACAUGCAUUAAAUUUGUUUUUAAAAUGUCAUUAUUUUAAGACCAUUGUUCAUCAGAAUUUGUACUUUAAUUGUUAAGUCAUUUAUAAAUGGCUUAAAUUGUAGAAAUAUUUAGCACCCUAUGGUUUUGUAUAACAAACUCCCAGUAUCUUGAAAACUAAGCAUAAGUUCCAGAUUUUACUAUAUAUUCAAAAUAAUACAUGGAUAUGAAAGUACCAUGGUACUCAUUUAUAGUAAAAGAUAUUGAAAAGAAUUUUCUUGUUAUAAGUAUGUUUAUUUAAGUAGGUGGGAAGAUCUAAAAGAAAAGCAGAAAAAGAAAAACUGAUACUAUGUAUCAAAAUGUAUUGAUACUAUUUAUUGCUGUCAUUACUUUGCUCAACUCAGUUAAAAUGUGAAGUCUCUGGAUUCAUAAGUAAGAUGUAACAGGAACAAAAUGCAGGAUUUCCCUAAGAAAUAAGGAAGACUCAUCGGUGUCAUGGUAGACAAAAUAAAUCUCCUUAGGAAAAAGGAUUACAACACCGAAACCAUAAAUAUAAAGACUAAGACUUGAGAUGUGAAACUAAUGAGGCAACAUUUUGAAUUUCUCAGAAGGCAGCUGACAUUUUUAUCGGUGUAAAUGACACUGUUUCCAUGAUUUCCAAACAGUCUCUAACACACUGGACUUACUCUUGAAAUUAAUUUCUCUAUCCUGAAGUCAUUUAGAAAUGUGUAUUGAGAUGAACCAACUGACUAGUUCUUAGGUUAUUGCCAUCAAGUGUUACUACAUUUUGUUAUAUUUAACAUAUGGUGAAUUUUAAAAAAUAAUUUCAGUGGAAGUUUGGUCAGUCUAGUUAAGAAAUUAGAAAUUCAAUUACCAUGGAAAUAUGUAUAUCACUUUUCCUUUAGAGAGAAAUGUUCAAAAAUAUUUUUGUUACAGUUAAGUUUGGGGUAAAAUAUGUUCAUCAUAUAUUGCAAGCAAGUGUCUGUGUGACACGUUACAUCUAUACUUCAACCACAACAAUAUUAAAACAGAGUUAAAAACGAAUGGGGCUGUGAAAGUAGAUCAGUUGAUAGAGUGCUUGCCUGGAAUGCACAAAUCCUUGGAUUUCAUGCCCAGUACCACAUAACCAAGGUAUGGUGGUCCAUGCCUGUAAUUGUCAAAUCCCCUCACUCAAGCUGUGGAGGUAGUUAUAGUGAGUUUGAGAGCAGCCUAGGUUACAUGAGUCUGUCUUUAAAAAAAUCAGAAUGAGUAAGUAGAUGGAAACUAAACAACGGGAAAGAAGCAAGAGAAGCCUCUGUCCUAACAACAAUGUGAAAAAUAGAAUAAAAAAGAGAAGACCAAAUGAGAAUCCAGGUUUCCCAUGAGAAAACCAGGAAAGAGACUGGAGAAGAUUGGAGUCUUUUUAAAAGUAAAUUUAUUUGGUAGUAGACAUGAAAAAUAACAUACAUGUGCUAUCUGUAGAGUGGAAAAGGUUCAGGUGUAGGAUGCUGCUAAGGACGAUGGGGAUAACAUAAGUGAUUUCAAAUAGGGCCUCAGUAUCAGGUGGUAUCAGCCCACAUUGCAGCAGACAGGUGUAGAGCAGACAUGCAUGCAUAGCAUUUGUUUUCAGUCAGACUACGGUAUCCUGUGUGCAGAGCGGUGUUAUCGCACAGUAUAUUAUUGCACUAGAAGCUGGCCAUGAUGUCUUCCCAGGUUUAUCAGCAUUAUUGGUAUUAGUAACUAUUGGUGGUGUCAAUAUGAUUUUCUUAGACUUUAUUGUAUUGCUGUGAGAAAAUCACUGAUAGGGAAGGCUCAUGCUCAUUGUUUCAAAGGGCUCAGUUUAUAGUACUUUGCCCUCAUGCACUCAGGUAAAACAUCAUGGUGGAGAGACUGUAUGGCAGAGACAGGCCUUCACCUGUUGGUACAUAGGGAGCAGAAAGAAGGUAGAUAGCAUGGCCCCAAGGAUCUCUUCUCACUAAUUUAUUUCCUUUGACCAGGCCCUACCUCCUAAAGUUCCCCAAUUCUCACAAACCAGUGCCCCCAGCUACCCACAAAAGAUCAUAUCAUCAGCCCUUGGGAGAAAAUCUACAUUCAAACUGUAUCCAAUGAUUUGAUGAAAGCGAUGCGGUUUUAGUUCUGAGGACUUUUUCACAUAAUGACUAACUUCUCAACACUCAGUGUUGAAUUAUUUUUUAAAUCAUCUCAUGUGCAUAUAUGUGUGUGUAGGUAGGUGUGGCGGUCAGAGAACAUCUUUCUCGCAUUGCCUCUUCCUCCCCACCUUGUUUUUGAGUCAUGGUUUUCUUGCUGUUUCUGCUGCUGUGCUGCUAUGUGUGCACUCAACACUACAAUCUCCUAUUUGUACCUCCCAUUUUAUCAGAAGGGAGCUUGAU